rnacentral:lncRNA from 1 species
GACUAUUUAUUUUUGCAACAAUUGUGGUAGUACUUUCCUAACUAUGUCUACCCUAACCCACCCUGUCAGUUUUCCCUGUGGGAAGGAACCGGGGCACCUGGAAAAAACCAUGCACGACUUUCAUCAGAGUGUUGACAGACUCUUUUCACAUGCAUGAGUCCGUAGCGAGAAUCUAACCCACGAUCUCAGGUGAAGGGCUCUUGCUUUGACGACUGCGCCACCGAAGCCCCAAUGAAUGUGAAGCCUGGUUUGCAUAUGACGCCGACAGUCGCCGACUCAUUGUCGGUAGUCAUUGAAGGAGAAAAUGAUUUCAGAUACACAAGGCCAAAAAAAAUGUGGGUUUCCGGUUUCUUCUUAUAAAAACUUAGGUAGGGUAGGUCGGUUUUAACUUUUUUUUUUAAACUUUUUUUUUUUUCCUAACAACCGGACGCCAUUUUGUUUAGUCAGUGCUUCCACAUCCAAAGAUAAAUUUCCCUAAUAUUGCCUCAAAUUUCAAUUUUCCACAAUUUUUUUCCUCUAAGUGGAAACACUUACAAGCAUGAUCCAAUAAAAAAGUUUAGGGUCGGGAUUUCGACGUCCAAAAGCUAGUUGGGGCCGGGAAACCGGAAACCCACAUAUUUUUUUUUGGCCCAAAGGAUUUUACUCAUGAGUAAUCACCGACAAUGGAACUCGCCGAC